ACGAAUAUAACACUGUAUGCUACCUAUACUGGAAUUUUUUUUAAAGAACAUAAUAAUUUUUCUUUUUUUAGUGUGCCAGAUGCCCCUCUGAGAAGCAAUGGAGAACCAUGGUGGAGACAAUCUCAGCUCCGUGGACCGUUGUCCAGCAUUUGCCCUCCUUUGGCAUUGGGAGACACAGCUCGCUGAAAGAGCUCCAGUAGCCCCCAGGGGCACGAAUCUCAGAGAGGGAGCAAAUGCUAUGCGUGCAGUGAGCCUGACUCUUUGACCUGGGGGUUAGAAGUCACAUCAGCGUCAUCCUUCGGAGGGUUUGGUUCUGGACGAGGAAUUUGGUUGAAAUUAUCGACGACAGCAACAAAACUCACUGUUGAGAAGGUUGGCUGGGGAGAAGAAUGCUAGGACGACUUGGGUACAUCACCCCGGGAAAGGGAGGACUAUCCUGUCACAGCCCGAUUGGUGGUGUCUCACCAUCGAUCUUUGGCAAGUUGUACUGGAAAGGGAUGGUCAGAGUUCCAAAGUGCAAUAUUAUAUUUCCAAUUAAAAUGUAAAAACAAACCUUUCUCAUAAAGCACAUUGGCCUCAGCACUGGGAAGUGACUACAAAGCCCAUUGCUGAUUGAGAAAAGCUGAAAGCAGACACUGUAAUUGAUAAAGGAGAUAAGUCAAUCUGUGUCCUUUAAAGAAUAAUGAGUUCCAUUUUUCAUCAAAAAGAUCUCCUUGUGCCGAAGAAACAUUCUUUCAAUAAAUCUACUUAAUGGUUUCCCUUCUAAUGAUAUAUAACAUUGCGCUUUGGAAGGAGCUUGGAGCAUCCUGGCCCGUUCCUGCAAGGGUCUGCAGGCCACCCAACAUUUGCAUUGCUAAUCCAACCCAAAGAAAACCCAAAAGGUUCCCAGACAGUGCUGCAUUCCCCUGAGGCGGGGGUGGGGUGGGGGUGGACUAUCUAAAAGCUUUCCCGGGCUCUUCAAGCAGGUAGAUGGGACAGAAUUUUUAGAUCAUUCCCUCACCAUUAAACUUGAGGUCCUAUGCAUAUUUACAUCCCUCCCUUGCCCCCCACCCCCGCCAACCGAGCCGACUGCCACCCUGGUGUGUUAGGGAUACCUCAGCUCUGAGGGUGGCUCAAGAGUUAAAGGUUUCAGAUAUUUGGGUGGUGAGAACUGAUGAGCUUGUUUGUUCCCUGGGCUCACCCCUCUCCAACAGCCCUGACGGCCUUGGUGUUGUUCAGACCGUGGGCUGCAGGAGGUAGUCCGUGUUUAUUGUGUUUGGUAAACUGAAGAUCCACUUUAAAGACCCGGCCUGAGGGAGUGCUGUGUCCAGGCCCUCCCCCCAGCCAGCCGAGGGCCUAAGCUUACUCAGGUGGUAAAGGCAGAGCAGAAGAGACAGCCUGUCCCCCGGCAAGGGAAGGGUCCAGGGCCCUCUGUGCCCUGGUGCUAGGCAGCAGGAACGGUGUCGCUCAGCUUGGCUUACCUUGCGACCCCCCUCCCCAACUUUACAAACGUGCUGCUAUUUCCACAAGCACCCAGCUUUAUGUAACAAAACCCAUUUCCUCCAAGCGCACCCAGCCCUCCCAAUACUGGCGGACUUCCCCACAUGGAACUCAUUAAAAACAACCCUCGAGUUAUUUCCUUAUGUUGCUGUUUGUUUAUUCUCCAGUCGCGUGUGAGUCAGCCCGAUCAUGAUUUGUGGUGGUUUUGCUUAUGAAAUCUUACAUAAUUAUAUUUCUCUUGUCAUGUUGGGUCGAGCCGUGAGGCCUUACAGUGUUUUCUCAUUGCACAACGUGGGCGAAUCAAUACGGAGAACGGCUGAACAAUGAGGUGACGUCGGCUGCCCAGGAAGCCGGGCUCCUAGUCACCCAGGAGGCGGCCGUGCGGUGGCGCGAGGGGCCCGGACGCCGGCUAAGGCCCCCCGCGCGGCCCAGGAUGGCGAGGCUGGGUGGCGGCCUCCGAGCAUGCGGCUCGCCGAGGUGCGACUUAAGAGAGGGGAGCCAGGGAACGAAAGAACAGCAAUGACAACACUUCACACAGAAACCGACCACAUUUUUACUGCAUUCGCGACACGCCGGAUUCCACCAUGCUGGUCCCGAGCGUGGCUGGCUACAAGCCGGCAAGACGCUUACGGCUGCUCCGCGGGGCCUUCCCUUGCCCGCCUUGUACGUGAUUUCUUUGAUCCUCCUCACCGUCCCAAGUCCAGAGGCAGCUACUAAGAACACGCUCGAUGCAAAACAGUGAGUGGCUACGACACACGGAUGAGGCUGGGUGCGAUUUCCACGGCAGAACGUGGAAUCCAGAGAAAUGGUUUGUGGAGGCAAGACGCCUCCUUAGUGGCUACUAGUAUUAUGGAGCUCAAAACCCACAGCUGGCUGGUUUUGCUCGAUUCCUGGAGUACAUUGAAGCUAGUUGUUCCUAACGUUAUUUCAUAUUUUAAAUAAAAUAUCUGACCUGAUUUAAACCUU